rnacentral:rRNA from 1 species
GAUGAACGCUGGCGGCGUGCUUAACACAUGCAAGUCGAGCGAAGCAAUUUUAAGGAAGUUUUCGGAUGGAAUUAAAAUUGACUUAGCGGCGGACGGGUGAGUAACGCGUGGGUAACCUGCCUCAUACAGGGGGAUAACAGUUAGAAAUGACUGCUAAUACCGCAUAAGCGCACAGUGCCACAUGGCACAGUGUGAAAAACUCCGGUGGUAUGAGAUGGACCCGCGUCUGAUUAGGUAGUUGGUGAGGUAAUGGCUCACCAAGCCGACGAUCAGUAGCCGACCUGAGAGGGUGACCGGCCACAUUGGGACUGAGACACGGCCCAAACUCCUACGGGAGGCAGCAGUGGGGAAUAUUGGACAAUGGGGGAAACCCUGAUCCAGCGACGCCGCGUGAGUGAAGAAGUGUUUCGGCAUGUAAAGCUCUAUCAGCAGGGAAGAAAAUGACGGUACCUGACUAAGAGGCCCCGGCUAACUACGUGCCAGCAGCCGCGGUAA